rnacentral:lncRNA from 1 species
CUGAAGCCCAUUAAAGUUAAACAAGGUGCUCAAAGUCACCCAGCUGAGGAGGACUUAGCCCUAGUCUGUCUGGUCCAAAGUCCCUGCGUUUCCUGUGACAGCCUCCCCUCACGGUGCCGGUGACGCUGCUGGUAUAACAGGGCCUCAGAGAUGGGACGGCUCAGGAGAGAAACAGAAGCUGUGGAAGUUUCCAGGUGAUGGGGUGACUUGGAGUGGGGUGAGGAGGCAGCCCAGUGCACAGCUGGAUCAGAUUCCAUCCGACCCGUGGGAACCUACCAACAUUGGCUGGUGUGAUGAGGGCUGCUCUCAGGCACGAAAUCACAGCUCCAACCGUAUCAGAAGGAACACAAAGUCCGGCCUUUCAGAUGGGGCAUUCCCAGGAGGCAAGGUCAAACGGGUUAGGAAAAGUGCAAGCAGUCUUCCUGCCCCUCCUUUCCUAGGACCAAAGACUUGAAGUUCCCUGCAAGCACAGAUCCAUACCACAUGGCUGAACACAGACUUGCUCCUAAGCAUACAUGACGGUUAACUAUGGCAAACCAAGGAGCAGAGGUGUUUGAAUUCAAGAGCCUUGAGAAUUUCAUUUUACUGCAUCCCACCUCCCCUCUGGUCCACUGAAGCUGGAGCUGGAACUGGAGGUGGGUCAGGUGAGUGGUUACCUGAAGUGAACAGAUGUAGGAAGAACCAGAGAGUAGGGGCAUGUCACAAAUGACAGCAUGAGAUCGUCAAAGUUAGGGAAGCCCGAGAGGGUUCCUGAGUCCAAAGGACAAGUGUGGAGUUAGACCUGAGAGAUAAGACAAAACAGAGCAAAUGCUGGGAAGAUCCCAAGACAAGACAGUUAAGAGGAUCAGAGCAGAGUGAAGGAAGAGAGUGCAAAACCAUUGUCUCAAAAGCUCC